UGUCUGCACUACGUAAAUAAGUCUUGUCUUCAAACGAUGCAUGUCACAGGACUUCGGCUCUGAUUGACCAGGCAGAGCCAACUGCAAGAUAUUACAAGGGCCAAUUCUUGAUGAAUCUGACACCAGUUGUGACUUGUGUUAGCAUCCUGGGUACCCAUCAUGCACAGCCCUGAAAACAUGGCUAUGUGCCCAGGCUUUCGAAGAUUAAAUGAUAAAGACAACCCAAACUGAUUUACAGGCACAGCAU
rnacentral:lncRNA from 11 species